rnacentral:rRNA from 1 species
AUUGAACGCUGGCGGCAUGCCUUACACAUGCAAGUCGAACGGUAACAGGGAGCUUGCUCCGCUGACGAGUGGCGAACGGGUGAGUAAUGUAUCGGAACGUACCUUUCAGUGGGGGAUAACGCAGCGAAAGUUGCGCUAAUACCGCAUAUUCUGUGAGCAGGAAAGCAGGGGAUCGCAAGACCUUGCGCUGAUUGAGCGGCCGAUAUCAGAUUAGCUAGUUGGUGAGGUAAAGGCUCACCAAGGCGACGAUCUGUAGCGGGUCUGAGAGGAUGAUCCGCCACACUGGAACUGAGACACGGUCCAGACUCCUACGGGAGGCAGCCUGAGACCCAAGGCACACAGGGGAUAGG